UACGUAGGGUGCAAGCGUUGUCCGGAAUUAUUGGGCGUAAAGAGCUCGUAGGCGGUUUGUCGCGUCUGCUGUGAAAACUCAGGGCUUAACCCUGAGCUUGCAGUGGGUACGGGCAGACUAGAGUGCGGUAGGGGAGACUGGAAUUCCUGGUGUAGCGGUGAAAUGCGCAGAUAUCAGGAGGAACACCGAUGGCGAAGGCAGGUCUCUGGGCCGAUACUGACGCUGAGGAGCGAAAGCGUGGGGAGCGAACAGG
rnacentral:rRNA from 1 species